CUCUUCUUCAGGUCCGGGAAAGGUACUCAGUGUCCCAGCUAAAUACAAGGUUGAACAGAUUGUUUAGCCUAAGUAAUUAACACACAUUCUAAGGGAUCAUUCAGGAUGAAGUGGACUGUAUGGCUCAGAAGCUUGUGUCUCUC